rfam:Schistosoma mansoni, Puerto Rico, WGS project CABG01000000 data, contig: 0270
GCACUGCUGAGGAGUUCCACAAUAGGACGAAACGGUCGUUCAGUUC